UACGGGGGGGGCAAGCGUUGUUCGGAAUUACUGGGCGUAAAGGGUGUGUAGGUGGCGCCGUAAGUCGGGUGUGAAAUUUCGGAGCUUAACUCCGAAACUGCAUUCGAUACUGCGGUGCUUGAGGACUGGAGAGGAGACUGGAAUUCAUGGUGUAGCAGUGAAAUGCGUAGAGAUCAUGAGGAAGACCAGUGGCGAAGGCGACUCUUUGGCCUGUAACUGACGCUGAGGCGCGAAAGCGUGGGGAGCAAACAGG
rnacentral:rRNA from 1 species